rnacentral:rRNA from 1 species
GAUGAACGCUGGCGGCGUGCCUAAUACAUGCAAGUCGAGCGAACAGACGAGGAGCUUGCUCCUCUGACGUUAGCGGCGGACGGGUGAGUAACACGUGGAUAACCUACCUAUAAGACUGGGAUAACUUCGGGAAACCGGAGCUAAUACCGGAUAAUAUAUUGAACCGCAUGGUUCAAUAGUGAAAGACGGUUUUGCUGUCACUUAUAGAUGGAUCCGCGCCGCAUUAGCUAGUUGGUAAGGUAACGGCUUACCAAGGCAACGAUGCGUAGCCGACCUGAGAGGGUGAUCGGCCACACUGGAACUGAGACACGGUCCAGACUCCUACGGGAGGCAGCAGUAGGGAAUCUUCCGCAAUGGGAGAAAGCCUGACGGAGCAAAGCCGCGUGAGUGAUGAAGGUCUUCGGAUCGUAAAACUCUGUUAUUAGGGAAGAACAAAUGUGUAAGUAACUAUGCACGUCUUGACGGUACCUAAUCAGAAAGCCACGGCUAACUACGUG